UAUUUUUAUCAUUUUUCCAGGAGCAUCUUAAACUUCAAAAAGAAAUGGGCAAACAUAGAUGAAACCUGGAAAUUUUGUUCUCUUGGUAAGUAAUAGCUGUGCUCAUUUGCUAAGAGCAAAUACUGCAUCUGCUUUCCCCUGGGCCCAUUCUACAGGUGAGAUGAUAUGUUGGUGUCUCAGUAUCCACACUAUUAGGUCACUCUAGAACUAGCGUGUUUUCUCACAUCCUUUGCUGUAGGAGAAUGCAGAGGAGUACACUCAUAUGGCAUAUGGCCCACAACCAAGAAUGGUACCUGAAGUUACUAAUAAAGGCUUUCCCCCUCUGCUCAGAUUGCGGCUGUGUGAGAAGAAUGAAUGAUUGGUGAAUGGAGUAGAUUUAAAAAUGAGGUCUGCUGUCACUCACGUGGUCUCUGUCUUGGCCCGGAUCCCAUGCUCUCUCAUCUCAGUGGCUGCAUCAUUGCCCCUAAUUAUGAGCCUGCUGGGGCCCUGAGCUCAGCUUCCGGGAAACCAUGGCAGAGCCUGUGCGCAGGUGGGGGGGUGCGCUUGCAGCUGUGCUCACUAGCUUAUGCUUUACUCGCAGAGGCACCAGCCGAACACCUUUAAGGCCCACUCUUGUGGCAGUUCAGGGGUUGGCAGUAGUUCUCUGUUCAGUCGAAUCCUAAUGCUGCUUGGCCUGUGGGUCCAUAUUCCCCCAUCAAAUGUUUUCUAGAGAUAAAGGACAACCAGAACUGCUUUUCUCUGUUACUGCCACACCCUUGGGGUUUCAUUUCUUGCCUUUAGCAAAACUCAAUCCCUCAGUUUGGCAAUGAUUCUUAUAUGGGUUCUGUUUGACUCUUUCCCUCUGAUUCCACUGAAAGUCUCCCUUUUGUUGGUACUAGAAAAGUUGAAGAUGUCUUAAAGACUCUGGUUUCCCCCCAGUUUUAUACUGUCCUUUCCAAGGCAUGGAAAGGCUCGAGCUCCAUUUUUCUAUUCCUGAGCCAAGUCAGAGGUCCAGCUGCUUCAUGUGUGCAGGGCUGAUUAAAAUAGCAGGGAUGCUGAAGGGAUUCAGCAAGGAAAUGUUUAGUGAGGUCCAGAAGCUAUCAACUGAGAAUACGGGACGUGGGCUGUUUGUGCCAGGUGACUGUGGGUAAUGCUGGCAGUGUCUAUCGUGGAAAUACAAUUUCUACAGGAAAAAACAAACCCAAAAGUCAGACUAUUCAGAAAAGGGACAUAGUAAACGAUCAUAAGGACAAAAACCCAACCUGAGAAAAUCCACUUCUAAAUAUUAUUUCUAUAAAGAAAAAUAUAGACAAGGACAUUUGUGUCUGUCUGUAACUUGGACUCUCUGGUAAAAUAAAAUUACCUACAGAUGUUUUUGAGUUAUUUGCUUUGGUCAACAUUUUGGUGUAAACAUGUUAGAAAUACUGUGUGGCUGUUGGUAGGCCCCUCUGCCUAAGAAGACGGAAAGGCUGGGACACUAUACUAACAUGUUUCACUUUAUCUGAAGGCAUAGCCAUGAAAUCCACAAACUAAGAAGGAGGAAAAGGGCAUCAUCAGCCCUGAAAAAGAGCUAAUUCUUGGUGGGGAAAACAGGGCCGAGAUAAAUUUAGAGGGAAAGAAAGCAUGUCCUAAAGCAAAAUAGCACAUGAAAGGGUGCAUAAAAAACACGUCUAGGGUGCUAUAUUUAAAGUUCACACGUUGAAGUAAAACUGAGGAAUGAGUGUCUCUUGGAGGCUUAUUAAUGAUGCCGAGAACCCCUGAUAUGCAGGCAGCAGUUUGGAGGCACCCAGUUCCCAGUGGUGACUGAAAACCAUCACUCCUUAGUAGCUAUGAGACAAUGGCCUCUGUCCAUGUCUUAGCUGAGUGGAUCAGGAGAGCAGCGCAUCUGCAGAGGCCUGAAGGAAAGAGCACAAGAGCACUUUCAGUGCAGUGACCUUGGCCAUGUUUCUCCUGUGGUUAAGUAGAAGUCUUGAUUCUAGGCACUGAGAGCCCCUCAUGACACCACUCACGGUGGUCACAUGCAUACAUCCACCUGUGUUUGCAUGUGUGUAUUUAUGCUUUCCUUUUUCUCCUCCUAGUAGGCAAGAGAUGAUGGACAAAGAACAGAGAACAGAAAAUAAAGCUGGCAUGCAAGUCAGACCCUCGUUUUUGCAGUAACACUCCAGUCUGAAGAGAAGUAUGGUUGCUGCCCCUUCUCUGCUUUUGUAAUGCUUGCUGCCCGGCUGCAGUUGUGACACCAGCAGAGAGGCUCCAGAGAGCUCCACCAUGCCUUCUGCCAUAUGAGGACACACCAAAAAGACAACCUUCUAUGAACCAGUAAGUAGACCAGCACGAGACAUUGACUCUGCCAGAGCCUGGGAUGUGGACUUCCCAGCCUCCAGCACUAUGAGAGUUAAAGCACAUGAAGUGUGUGAAGAGUGGCUGAACAGUCUACGCGAAAGUUGUUAGGCUUCCGAAGCAUUAGUCCAAAGGCCCCACUGCUACACCUGCUGCCAUUACUAGAAAAUUCUGUGGAAGAAAUAAGUCAUGUGCUUCCUCUUCAAAUUUUUGAUGAUAAAAGACAAGAAAGAAAUGAAGCCUUAAAUGUCUCGGGCUGUAUCAGGCAACCAGCUGGGAAUCAAGUUUGCUGUGGGACUUGCCCAGGUUACAAAUCAGCUCCAUCAGAAUUACCUGGAAAGCUUGAAAAAAGAACAUGCAGUUCCAGGUCUCCACUCAAGAGUGGAAAAACACAUGGUGCUCCUACUGGCUUCCCACUCGUGGCUACAUUUGACAGAAUCCCUCACUGUGAUGCACAGAGGAUGAUGGUAAAGACCAGUGCAGCCCAAGGUAUGAAUUUUCAUGCAUUGUUAGAGCAUUUUAUUUGGUGUUCCAAAUCCUCUAACUGUUUGGUACUAAUGCAUUCAAAAUUGUUUCAAAAACACAAAUCCAGCAAAAAAGCAAAGUAACUGUAAGCAGCAAAGCCAUAGGAUAAAUGGUACUUUGUUACCUCCACUAACAGAGACGACUUCAGCUUUCUGCUAUAUGAAGUAAGUAAUAAAUAUCUGUAACUUGUUCUACUGAGGUGUUCAAAACAUCAUUCUGCUCCAAAGACUACACUUCCAGGUUAGAGUAAAAUGGGCAAGAUAAAAAGUAAACAAACUUUAGACUAGAUCACUUGUCUACUUACUCUGUCCUAAAAUAGAUACAAAUUUCACUUUCAAUUUCUACUCGAGUGGAAACUCCAAUUUAUUAAAAAUGAAAUUAUUUCACAAGUUAAGUGGUUAGAAGAAUGUUCUUAAUCCAUCAGGGGUGAGACAAUGAGGUGUUCUGUAUCAUUCCCAUAAGCACAGGAAUGGAAAACCAGAACUUUUUUUUUCAUUCUUUAUGCUGUAGUCUGUCUAUUUGUUAUCAGACUUCUAGUUAGAAAGAAAAAUGUUUCCAUUAGAAAAAAGGCUUCUUUUAACUUAAAAUCUGUUUUAACAUUUCACAGUUGCCCCCACCAUCUGUAGAACAUCAUUAUAAUGGGAAUUGUAAAAAAGGAGAAAUAUCCACUGUCCAAUGCUAUGGCAGUUGUCUACUUAGCAAUAAGAGAGAAAUGUAGUAUUGUUCAAGGAAUAAAGAAAAGUUAAAAGUGCUACUUUCGUCAGAGUACAAUUAUAUGUAGACAUACUUCAGUGAAAGCGGAAUGAGGAAUUUGCCUGUUAGCCCAAUUAACAUAUCCAAAUAUUCAAUUUAUAGUUGCAAAAAUUGUUCCCAAGCAAUAAAAGAAUUCAAGUUUCUGACUACCCAUUUUUCCUAAGCCAUCUUUAUUACUUGGAUAAGUUUCCUUUUGACCAUUUCUACUGUUGGCAAAUAAUUGAAUUAUCUGAAAAUCCACUGUAUAAACUACACUUCCUUUUAGAAGCUGUUUUGAAGUCUAUCUGAGUGUCUUGGGAAGAAAAAGGACAAGGUAUGAUUUACCUCAAGACCUAGAUCUUUUAUGUUUGUAGACAGAUACUCCUAAUUUUGCACUCUGGAUUGUCUUAGUUUUCUACUAGAAAACAGACCUUUUAAGCAAAGCACAUAUAUAAAUUUCACUCAGCACCAUUACUUCCACCUUGCUUAUACAUAUUCAGAACCUAAUAACUGGUUCUCAUCAGAAUAAAAUUUGUACUGUGGAAAUUUUACUCUAAAUAAUAAUGGAUGUGCUUUACAGAACAUUUUCACCUAAUAUUUUGCUAUAUACAUAUUUGUAACACAGUUCUAGGAUGAGUUGUCUGCUCUCUUUAUAUAAGAUUUAACUAAGUUUAUUUGGCUUAAACAAACUUAAACUUUCUCUUCCCAUCUCAUGGUCUCACCCACUGUUGGUCCAUUAUUUUCUGUCUUCUCCCAAAUCCCUAACCUCAUCUUGAAAGAGUAACUGAAUCAUUUUUCCAUCUACAUGAAAUAUGUGGGAUUCUAAUUCUUUCUAGUCCUUCCAUGAACAGUAAACAAGUAAAAAAUUCAAAAUGCUAUGAUUGGUAAUAUUAGGCAAGUAAUAAAAAUAGACAUUAGACUAUUAGAUAUAUAACAUUAGAUAUAUAUUAAUUUUGAACCUGAAGUUAAAAAAUUGUGUAUGUGUGUAUGUAAGUCUG